AACGAACGCUGGCGGCAUGCCUAACACAUGCAAGUCGAACGAGACCUUCGGGUCUAGUGGCGCACGGGUGCGUAACGCGUGGGAACCUGCCCUUAGGUUCGGAAUAACUCCCCGAAAGGGGUGCUAAUACCGGAUAAUGUCUUCGGACCAAAGAUUUAUCGCCUUUGGAUGGGCCCGCGUUGGAUUAGCUAGUUGGUAGGGUAAAAGCCUACCAAGGCGACGAUCCAUAGCUGGUCUGAGAGGAUGAUCAGCCACACUGGGACUGAGACACGGCCCAGACUCCUACGGGAGGCAGCAGUGGGGAAUAUUGGACAAUGGGCGAAAGCCUGAUCCAGCAAUGCCGCGUGAGUGAUGAAGUCCUUAGGGUUGUAAAGCUCUUUUACCCGGGAUGAUAAUGACGGUACCGGGAGAAUAAGCUCCGGCUAACUCCGUG
rnacentral:rRNA from 1 species